CCGAAGAUAUGGGUGUGCACUUUGUGCAUGCGGUAGCGGAGCGUUCCGUAGGCCGGUGAAGGUCAGGCGUGAGCCUGGCUGGAGGUAUCGGAAGUGAGAAUGCUGACAUGAGUAACGAUAAGAGUGUGAGAGACACUCUCGCCGAAAGACCAAGGGUUCCUGCGUAAAGCUAAUCUGCGCAGGGUUAGUCGGCCCCUAAGGCGAGGCUGAAAAGCGUAGUCGAUGGGAAGCAGGUAAAUAUUCC
rnacentral:rRNA from 2 species